CGAUUCCUACGGGGCGCAGCAGUGAGGAAUAUUGGUCAAUGGGCGGGAGCCUGAACCAGCCAAGUCGCGUGAGGGAAGACGGUCCUAUGGAUUGUAAACCUCUUUAGGCGGGGCGCAAUGCCGGGCACGCGUGUCCGGCGGGAGAGUACCCGCAGAAUAAGCAUCGGCUAACUCCGUGCCAGCAGCCGCGGUAAUACGGAGGAUGCGAGCGUUAUCCGGAUUUAUUGGGUUUAAAGGGUGCGUAGGCGGAUUUUUAAGUCAGCGGUAAAAUGUCCGGGCUCAACCCGGGCCGGCCGUUGAAAUUG
rnacentral:rRNA from 1 species